rnacentral:rRNA from 1 species
UACGAAGGGGGCGAGCGUUGUUCGGAUUUACUGGGCGUAAAGGGCGCGCAGGCGGCUCAUUUUGUCAGGCGUGAAAGCCCCGGGCUUAACCUGGGAACUGCGUUUGAUACGGAUGGGCUAGAGUUCGGGAGAGGAGAGUGGAAUUCCCAGUGUAGAGGUGAAAUUCGUAGAUAUUGGGAAGAACACCGGUGGCGAAGGCGGCUCUCUGGGCCUUACCUGACGCUGAGGAGCGAAAGCGUGGGGAGCGAACAGG